rnacentral:rRNA from 1 species
GACGAACGCUGGCGGCGUGCUUAACACAUGCAAGUCGAACGGAAAGGCCCUGCUUUUGUGGGGUGCUCGAGUGGCGAACGGGUGAGACACACGUGAGUAACCUGCCCUUGACUUUGGGAUAACUUCAGGAAACUGGGGCUAAUACCGGAUAGGAGCUCCUGCUGCAUGGUGGGGGUUGGAAAGUUUCGGCGGUUGGUGAUGGACUCGCGGCUUAUCAGCUUGUUGGUGGGGUAGUGGCUUACCAAGGCUUUGACGGGUAGCCGGCCUGAGAGGGUGACCGGCCACAUUGGGACUGAGAUACGGCCCAGACGCAGACGGGAGGCAGCAGUGGGGAAUAGUGCACAAUGGGCGGAAGCCUGAUGCAGCGACGCCGCGUGCGGGAUGACGGCCUUCGGGUUGUAAACCGCUUUCGCCUGUGACGAAGCGUGAGUGACGGUAAUGGGUAAAGAAGCACCGGCUAACUACGUG